AUUGAACGCUGGCGGCAGGCCUAACACAUGCAAGUCGAGCGAGCGGCGGACGGGUGAGUACUGUAUGGGGACUGCCCGAUAGAGUGGGAUAACUACUGGAAACGUUAGCUAAUACCGCAUACUAUCGGCUAACCCCUAUGGGAUUAGCUAGUAGGUGAGGUAAUGGCUCACCUAGUCGACGAUCCCUAGCUGUUCUGAGAGGAUGAUCAGCCAAACUGGGAAUGAGAAACGGCCCAGACUCCUACGGAGGAAGCAGUGGGGAAUAUGGCACAAUGGGUGCAAGCCUGAUGCAGCCAUGCCGCGUGUAGGAAGAAGGCCCUAGGGUUGUAAAGUACUUUCAGUCGGGAGGCGUUACCGACAGAAGAAGAACCGGCUAACUCCGUGCCAGCAGCCGCGGUAAUAC
rnacentral:rRNA from 1 species